AGUAUAGACACCAACCAGUAGUUGCACUCUAGAUCAAAUGAACGGAAUUAUUUACUCCUCCGAGAACACGCGCAUCAUUUCGGCGCGCAUGAGAAAAUGCGCGGGAAUUUUAAAGUGAAUUAUUUUACGGGAAGAAUUAUGAGCCUUGAGGCGAAUGUAAAAAUAAUAUUAUUUGAUAAUUAACACUUCUCAAGUAUUAUUUAGAAAUUUUUCAUGAUUUUCUAUUUGAAAUGAUUAUCGUCAGGGGAAACUGAUGCAUUUUUAGUGCAUAUGUCCUAAAGUGAAUGCGAUUGUUGUGAAUCAGUGUUUUUUCAGAUAAUUUUAUGUUAAUUCUCGGCUAGAAAGGUUUUUUCCUUUAGUUUCAGAGGAUUCAUUUUUCUAGAUUUCUUAUUUCCAUGGUAAUCAACCACCUUCGGUCACAAAACUGCUGUGAUCUGUAUUCAAUAUAGAGCCUUUAGGUUCAUCUACUGAAUAGGGUUUGCCGUCAUUACGCUCACAGGGCUGAUACAAAUUGAUUGGAAGCAACCAUAUAAAAUGUCCUCCAACGAAGCAAAGUUUACUUCUUUUUGCAUUUUUUCUGACUUUGCAUGGGGGUCGAGGUAUUAAAAGUGGUAUCUUUUCAAAUUGACCUACCUAGUCAAGUAAGAAGCGAAGGUUCAUUUAGUUCAUUGUUGAAACUGCUGUGACAACACAUGAAAAAACUAUACUGUGUUCCCUAUAAAUUAGAAUGUUAUCGUCUACUUACAAUAUGAAGUCAACAUUCUAGACUGAUGAAAUGAAAAUGCAGAAUGAAAAGUUCAAAAUAAUGAAUAAAAUUUUAUUAAUACAUACAUAUAAUACAAAAAAAAACGAGAAACAAAUAAUAUAUCUAUAAAUGUAAAAUUUUUAUAAUUUUUUUUUCUUUUUUAUUUGUUUUUUGUGCAAUGAAGUUUCUAUUGCAAAAUUUAAGUGUGUAAAAAAUUCUUAAUCUAACAUACAAACUUAAUAAGUAAUUCCAAGGAAAUUUCUCACAAGGGUGAGUGUAAGGGCAUAUCUUUUCCAUUUCUCUUUUCAAUUUACAACCAACAUUGUUCUGAAUCGAUAAAUGUGGAAAAUGAGACACGAAAGUGUUAUCCAGUCGAUUAAUAUACUCAUAAAACGAAUUUGGCGGCAUUUUCAAAUUGCCAAACAAUUCAUUCUCUUUAUAAUUCCUGAAAUGACAAUAUAAUGUCUCAUUACUUAGUUCACUUUGGCUUUGUGAAAAUUCGUCACAUAAAUUACAUCUAUGUUUUUCUAAACAUUUCUUUAUUAGAUAACCACAAACAUACGAUAAUACGUUUUUUUCUGGUAAAUCCAGUUCAUUGUAAUCUUUAGGAUCUACUUUGAGAACUUCUGAGAAUACAUUUCUCUCUGAUGAGAGUUUAGGGGGAGCUUCAACUUCCAAAUCAUUAAAAUUAAUGAGGACUUCAGACAAAUCUUUAAUACAAUUUGCUCCUUCCAACUGCUCAAAAAAUUGGAGACAAAAAUUCUUUUUGAACAAACUUUUGAACUGUACUGGAGUAGGAUUUGUGGCAUUUCCUCCUUGAUAUCUAAUAUUGCCAAAGAAAUUUUCUAGAGCAUCUUGAUUUAGGUAUCUAGUGCACAUAAAUUUCAUCCUACCAUUCAUUUCUUCCCACAUCAACAAUACAGCUCUAAUUGUUUGUCUCCAACCUUUAAUAAAUUUCACAGUAUU